rnacentral:rRNA from 1 species
UACGUAGGGUGCGAGCGUUAAUCGGAAUUACUGGGCGUAAAGCGUGCGCAGGCGGAUGCUUAAGUCAGAUGUGAAAUCCCCGGGCUUAACCUGGGAAUGGCAUUUGAAACUGGGCGUCUAGAGUGUGUCAGAGGGGGGUGGAAUUCCACGUGUAGCAGUGAAAUGCGUAGAGAUGUGGAGGAACACCGAUGGCGAAGGCAGCCCCCUGGGACUGCACUGACGCUCAUGCACGAAAGCGUGGGGAGCAAACAGG